GAUUAGCUAUUGUAUUGGUGACUGCUUAUCAAGUUUUUUGAUCUAUAACUUGAUUGAUUCGGAUACCGAUAGAUUUCUAGUGGUAGUAAACCGAGCGCGUACUCGGAAACAGAAACAGAAACGUUGGCUUCCCCCUGGUUUUCCAGGUCAUAAACUGAAGUAAAACGGUACAACGGUUAAUCU
rnacentral:other from 1 species